rnacentral:rRNA from 1 species
GAUGAACGCUGGCGGCGUGCCUAAUACAUGCAAGUCGAGCGAACAGACGAGGAGCUUGCUCCUCUGACGUUAGCGGCGGACGGGUGAGUAACACGUGGAUAACCUACCUAUAAGACUGGGAUAACUUCGGGAAACCGGAGCUAAUACCGGAUAAUAUAUUGAACCGCAUGGUUCAAUAGUGAAAGACGGUUUUGCUGUCACUUAUAGAUGGAUCCGCGCCGCAUUAGCUAGUUGGUAAGGUAACGGCUUACCAAGGCGACGAUGCGUAGCCGACCUGAGAGGGUGAUCGGCCACACUGGAACUGAGACACGGUCAAGACUCCUACGGGAGGCAGCAGUAGGGAAUCUUCCGCAAUGGGCGAAAGCUUGACGGAGCAACGCCGCGUGAGUGAUGAAGGUCUUCGGAUCGUAAAACUCUGUUAUUAGGGAAGAACAAAUGUGUAAGUAACUAUGCACGUCUUGACGGUACCUAAUCAGAAAGCCACGGCUAACUACGUG